GACGAACGCUGGCGGCGUGCUUAACACAUGCAAGUCGAACGGAAAGGCCCUGCUUUUGUGGGGUGCUCGAGUGGCGAACGGGUGAGUAACACGUGAGUAACCUGCCCUUGACUUUGGGAUAACUUCAGGAAACUGGGGCUAAUACCGGAUAGGUGCUCCUGCUGCAUGGUGGGGGUUGGAAAGUUUCGGCGGUUGGGGAUGGACUCGCGGCUUAUCAGCUUGUUGGUGGGGUAGUGGCUUACCAAGGCUUUGACGGGUAGCCGGCCUGAGAGGGUGACCGGCCACAUUGGGACUGAGAUACGGCCCAGACUCCAACGGGAGGCAGCAGUGGGGAGUAUUGCACAAUGGGCGGAAGCCUGAUGCAGCAACGCCGCGUGCGGGAUAACGGCCUUCGGGUUGUAAACCGCUUUCGCCUGUGACGAAGCGUGAGUGACGGUAAUAGGUAAAGAAGCACCGGAUAACUACGUG
rnacentral:rRNA from 1 species